rnacentral:rRNA from 1 species
CCUACGGGUGGCAGCAGUGGGGAAUAUUGGGCAAUGGCGGAAACUCUGACCCAGCAACGCCGCGUGAAUGAUGAAGGUCUUCGGAUUGUAAAGUUCUUUUCUAAGGGAAGAAGAAAGUGACGGUACCUUAGGAAUAAGCCUCGGCUAACUACGUGCCAGCAGCCGCGGUAAUACGGAGGAUGCGAGCGUUAUCCGGAUUUAUUGGGUUUAAAGGGUGCGUAGGCGGGCAUUUAAGCCGGCGGUCAAAUGUCGGGGCUCAACCCCGGCCUGCCGUCGGAACUGGGUGCCUUGAGUGGGCGAGAAGUAUGCGGAAUGCGUGGUGUAGCGGUGAAAUGCAUAGAUAUCACGCAGAACCCCGAUUGCGAAGGCAGCAUACCGGCGCCCUACUGACGCUGAGGCACGAAAGCGUGGGGAUCGAACAGGAUUAGAUACCCCUGUAGUC